CUCCCUUCUCAAGCCUUAUGUGAAUUCCCCCCUCUUACCGCCUCCGGCUCCGGCGCCUCCACCUACCCGCUUCCUCGGCGGCGAUCCCAUCUACAACGUCCGACGAGUCCUGGACGCCCGUCGCCGGGGAUGGCAAUACCUCGUUGACAGGGCAGACUAUGGCCCCGAGGAACGCUCCUGGGAACCUGCCCGCUCCAUCCUUGACCCUUCCCUGAUGUCGGACUUUUGGGACCGUCGGGAGCCGUCCCUGGAUGGGGGGGGGGUCUUGUCAGAGGCCAAGUCCCCAAACCAGCCUCUUCCAGCUAGUCGGUCUCCACCCUGGACCACAACUCCCAGCAUACUCCUCGCAGGGAUUCCCUCCACGUCACACCUACGUCACUAACCGCAACUAUAUACGGAAGUCGCCUCUCCAGCUCACCACUCAGUAAUCGUUUCUUCAGAUCCAUGAUCAGAGUAUCCAAUCAACCUAUCCAUCCUAUGAACUAUCUGCUCAAAGUAAGUGCUCUUACUUACCUCUGGAAAACCUAGCAUCUCCGUGUCACUUCAUUGACGCUCGGACGCUCGGGGAUUCCUAGAUCAAACCGCGAGCCGGCAUUUCACCGACGCUACCACUUCUGCGUCUGUGAAACCAUGCUCUCUACAGCUCAACUUCUUGUAUUCCAGCUGGCCAGUCUGACAGAAAAUAGUAGCUAACUUAAUUGGUAAAUUGAAAGUCCAAUGUAACUUCCACCUUUCUUUCUUCUUCGUCUUCUCAUUUGAUCAGCUUUGUAUGAAAAACUUACAGUUGGAAAUGGCAUCAGCAGAGAUUCAAGAUGUACAGGGCUUUGUACGACAAGAGUUCAUAUCCAGGCUCAUUACUAAAUUGGAGGCAGCCCUCGCAAGAACACCUCUGGACACUGAUUUCUUGGAAUUUACAUUUCGUCAGGAGUUAUACCUCUGGGAUGCACUUCAUAGACUUGUAGAUAUCCCACCAGAAAUCAGGCAGGCUUUACAAGAUUUUAUGGGAUCUGUUAUUGAACAUAAUAAACAACUUCAAGAAGCUGCAAAUAGCAGAGCUGUGGACACUGUCUCUGGAGAAAUGGGUCAUCCGAGAUAUUAGCCUGGCAAGCCAGACUAAAUAAAUGUAUUAUUUAGUCUGGCCAUGCUCCAUUGACGGCUCUCGGUUGUGGGGCGGGUUCUACCGUUGUCUUUCAAAUGAUCUCCGCAUUCCACUGGACAAUGAAUGUGACAUACUCUUGUUUCACUCUGUUGCAUCAUCCCACCCACCAGGCAUAUAGAGUGCCCUGAUUGGCCCACAAAGCGGAUAAAGCUCUGUGAUUUGUUCACUAAGCAGAUAGAGCACUAUGAUUGGCCCACCAUUAUGGACCAAUCACAGCUCUUUAUGUGUUUGAAACCCCUCUAGAGAGCUGUGAUUGGCUAGCCAGAGUCCUGGUAGGAGCUGCUGAGGUUCCAAUGGAGCAUGCCUAGACCA
rnacentral:lncRNA from 1 species